rnacentral:rRNA from 1 species
AUUGAACGCUGGCGGCAGGCUUAACACAUGCAAGUCGAACGCGUGGCGGACGGGUGAGUAAUGUCUGGGACACUGCCUGAUGGAGGGGGAUAACUACUGGACACGGUAGCUAAUACCGCAUACCCUCAAAUGUGCCCAGAUGGGAUUAGCUAGUUGGUGGGGUAGCUGCUCACCAAGGCGACGAUCCGUAGCUGGUCUGAGAGGAAGACCAGCCACACUGUAAUUGAGACACGGUCCAGACUCCUACGGGAGGCGGGAGUGGUGAAUAUUGCACAAUGGGCGCAAGCCUGAUCCAGCCAGGCCGCGUGGAUGAAGAAGGCCUGCGGGUUGGAAAGUACUUUCGGCGUUGAAGCGGUACCCGAAGAAUAAGCACCGGCUAACUCCGUGCCAGCAGCCGCGGUAAUUC